rnacentral:rRNA from 1 species
UACGUAGGGUGCGAGCGUUGCCCGGAUUUAUUGGGCGUAAAGGGCGCGUAGGCGGCUCGGCACGUCCGUUGUGAAAUCGCCCGGCUCAACUGGGCGGGGUCAGCGGAUACGGUCGAGCUUGAGCAAGCUAGGGGGCAAUGGAAUUCCCGGUGUAGUGGUGGAAUGCGUAGAUAUCGGGAGGAACACCAGUGGCGAAGGCGGCAUCCUGGACCAACACUGACGCUGAUGAGCGAAAGCCAGGGGAGCAAACGGG